rnacentral:rRNA from 1 species
AGGCUUAACACAUGCAAGUCGAGCGGAUGAAAGUAGCUUGCUACUGGAUUCAGCGGCGGACGGGUGAGUAAUGCUUAGGAAUCUGCCUAUUAGUGGGGGACAACGUUCCGAAAGGAGCGCUAAUACCGCAUACGUCCUACGGGAGAAAGCAGGGGACCUUCGGGCCUUGCGCUAAUAGAUGAGCCUAAGUCGGAUUAGCUAGUUGGUAGGGUAAAGGCCUACCAAGGCGACGAUCUGUAGCGGGUCUGAGAGGAUGAUCCGCCACACUGGGACUGAGACACGGCCCAGACUCCUACGGGAGGCAGCAGUGGGGAAUAUUGGACAAUGGGGGGAACCCUGAUCCAGCCAUGCCGCGUGUGUGAAGAAGGCCUUUUGGUUGUAAAGCACUUUAAGCGAGGAGGAGGCGUACCUAGAUUAAUACUUUAGGAUAGUGGACGUUACUCGCAGAAUAAGCACCGGCUAACUCUGUGCCAGCAGCCGCGGUAAUACAGAGGGUGCGAGCGUUAAUCGGAUUUACUGGGCGUAAAGCGUGCGUAGGCGGCCAAUUAAGUCAAAUGUGAAAUCCCCGAGCUUAACUUGGGAAUUGCAUUCGAUACUGGUUGGCUAGAGUAUGGGAGAGGAUGGUAGAAUUCCAGGUGUAGCGGUGAAAUGCGUAGAGAUCUGGAGGAAUACCGAUGGCGAAGGCAGCCAUCUGGCCUAAUACUGACGCUGAGGUACGAAAGCAUGGGGAGCAAACAGGAUUAGAUACCCUGGUAGUCCAUGCCGUAAACGAUGUCUACUAGCCGUUGGGGCCCUUGAGGCUUUAGUGGCGCAGCUAACGCUAUAAGUAGACCGCCUGGGGAGUACGGUCGCAAGACUAAAACUCAAAUGAAUUGACGGGGGCCCGCACAAGCGGUGGA